GGGAAGGGUAGGUGCUAGCAGGGACCGGGAAAGCUCCUGGUGGGCUGCCAAGACUUACAGGCUCGAGGCCCUGGGAAGGGAAUAAAGGAGCUGGAGCCAGAGGCAGGAGCAGAAGGAACUGAGGCUAUGGGGAAGUGGCCCAGGGAAUAGACAGUGAGCUGAAAGGAAGAGGCAGCAGGAAGCUGCUGUUUGCAGGGUCCUCAGGCUGCGGCCCCGAGUAGUGGGUGGGCCUGACCCUCCCCACUAGCUGUCGAAGGAGCAGCCCGGCUGUGGACUACCAAGCCACUGCGAGGAGUAGCUGGACUCUUGUUGAAGGAGUCCCCCAGAAGUGGGGGGGAAAACCAGAUGGUGACAUGGCCAGAAGGCUGUGCCACGAUGCAGACGCGGAGAGAAAGGAGCUGUAACCGGUCUGCAGUCAGAGGGAACUGAACUUCAUCAUUUGAUUACUGAUUCCCUUCACCUUCUAUGGUGGGUUCAGCGACCUGGCAGACCCCAGCCAAGGCACAUCCUAGCAGAAGUCACAAUCAUCUUCCAAAAAUGUCCUGCACCUAUGGCAGCAGGGGGAUCAU